rnacentral:rRNA from 1 species
UUGAACGCUGGCGGCAUGCUUUACACAUGCAAGUCGAACGGCAGCGCGGGCUUCGGCCUGGCGGCGAGUGGCGAAUGGGUGAGUAAUGCAUCGGAACGUGCCCAGUAGUGGGGGAUAGCCCGGCGAAAGCCGGAUUAAUACCGCAUACGACCUGAGGGUGAAAGCGGGGGACCGAAAGGCCUCGCGCUAUUGGAGCGGCCGAUGUCGGAUUAGCUAGUUGGUGGGGUAAAGGCUUACCAAGGCGACGAUCCGUAGCUGGUCUGAGAGGACGACCAGCCACACUGGGACUGAGACACGGCCCAGACUCCUACGGGAGGCAGCAGUGGGGAAUUUUGGACAAUGGGGGCAACCCUGAUCCAGCCAUGCCGCGUGCGGGAAGAAGGCCUUCGGGUUGUAAACCGCUUUUGUUCGGGAAGAAAUCCUCUGGGCUAAUACCCCGGGGGGAUGACGGUACCGGAAGAAUAAGCACCGGCUAACUACGU